UACGUAGGGUGCGAGCGUUUGUCCGGAAUUAUUGGGCGUAAAGAGCUCGUAGGCGGUGUGUCACGUCGGCCGUGAAAACCUGCAGCUUAACUGUGGGCGUGCGGUCGAUACGGGCAUCACUGGAGUUCGGCAGGGGGAGACUGGAAUUCCUGGUGUAGCGGUGAAAUGCGCAGAUAUCAGGAGGAACACCGGUGGCGAAGGCGGGUCUCUGGGCCGAUACUGACGCUGAGGAGCGAAAGCAUGGGGGAGCGAACAGG
rnacentral:rRNA from 1 species